rnacentral:rRNA from 1 species
UACGGAGGAUGCAAGCGUUAUCCGGAAUGAUUGGGCGUAAAGCGUCCGCAGGUGGCUAUGUAAGUCUGCUGUUAAAGAGUGAGGCUCAACCUCAUAAGAGCAGUGGAAACUACAUAGCUAGAGUGCGUUCGGGGCAGAAGGAAUUCCUGGUGUAGCGGUGAAAUGCGUAGAUAUCAGGAAGAACACCGGUGGCGAAAGCGCUCUGCUAGGCCGCAACUGACACUGAGGGACGAAAGCUAGGGGAGCGAAUGGG